AUUGAACGCUGGCGGCAGGCCUAACACAUGCAAGUCGAACGAGUGGCGGACGGGUGAGUAAUGUCUGGGAAACUGCCUGAUGGAGGGGGAUAACUACUGGAAACGGUAGCUAAUACCGCAUAACAUCAGAUGUGCCCAGAUGGGAUUAGCUAGUGGGGGGGGUAACGGCUCAACAAGGCGACGAUCCCUAGCUGGUCUGAGAGGAAGACAAGCAACACUGGAACUGAGACCCGUUCCAUACUCCUGCGGGAGGCAGCAGUGGGGAAUAUUGCACAAUGGGCGCAAGCCUGAUGCAGCAAUGCCGCGUGUAUGAAGAAGGCCUUCGGGUUGUAAAGUACUUUCAGCGGGGAGGCGUUACCCGCAGAAGAAGCACCGGCUAACUCCGGGCCAGCAGCCGCGGUAAUUC
rnacentral:rRNA from 1 species